UCCGAGUUGACCCCGGCAGUCUCCUGCGAGUCCCCGCCAUUACGCGCUGGCAACACAGGACAAGGGUUGCGCUCGUUGCGGGACUUAACCCAACAUCACACGACACGAGCUGACGACAGCCAUGCAGCACCUGUAUCUCGGUUCCCGAAGGCACCAAUCCAUCUCUGGAAAGUUCCGAGUAUGUCAAGGGCAGGUAAGGUUCUUCGCGUUGCGUCGAAUUAAGCCACGUGCUCCGCCGCUUGUGCGGGCCCCCGUCAAUUCCUUUGAGUUUUAGCCUUGCGGCCGUACUCCCCAGGCGGGGAACUUAAUGCGUUAGCUUCGGCACAGAGAGGGUUGAUGCUCCCCACACCUAGCACCCAUCGUUUACGGCUGGGACUAC
rnacentral:misc_RNA from 1 species